ensembl:lncRNA
CUGUGAUUGUAUGAUUGUAUGAUUCUGUGACUUUGAAUCAUGCUAAAAAGAUGCUUUUGCUGCUUCUGAUCUGUUCUUCCUUUUUUUUUUUUUUUUUUUUUGGCUUCCUCCUCCCCCUUCUGUUUUCUCAUUGACUCAUAGAAAUCUGGAUGGAAUGUUAGCAAAUGAUUCUAAGGGAGCAAUCCCACACUGGGAAUUGUGCCAGAUGAUUGUCUAGUGUUCUCCAUCUGUUCCACCCCUCGUAAUGUAUUUCUCACUGACUGGUUUCAUUGACUCCCAGUAUAAGCUGAAGGAACGGCACGGAGAAGUACACUCCUUCAGAUGUUCUACACAAUUGCAAAUCAAUUGUUUAUUAUGCGUCCCUGGGCAGUUAAACUGAUCAAUAUCUCAGUUUCAUCUUUGUAUGUACAUUGCGGAAGAAAAUUUUCCUUUCCUCAUGUGAGUUGAAAGAACUGUUUGCUCUUUGUCAUUUCAUCCUCUCUGCUCUAGAGAGUGAGAGAAAAUUAUAGAGAAUGUUGACUAAAACCAUAAAGAUAUAUAAAGCCAACAUGACACCAACAACAUAGUUUAAAAUCCUUAAGAUGACAGCUCAUUUCUGAAAAUUCAGAAAUGCUUAAAUCUGCACACACGAUGAAGUGAAUAAAUGAAUGAGGUGAAAGAACUUUGGAAGGACCAAGUUGCUGAAGGAGAGAACUCUGAGAUCAUUUUGCACUGCAAAGGAAACAAUCCCUUGUCACCCCUUGCUUCCAGCAGAUGUCUGUCUUUCAAUUUCUGUUUAAUCUUUAAAUCUUUAAAAAUUGAAAAAUUGAUGAAAUUCUCUACGUUUCAAUCUGCCCUGAGAAGAUUUUCUUGAUUUUAAACCAAGACAGUAUGUUCUAACCAGCCUGAUGGUUCACAUGAAAUAUGAGACACGCGGGUCACAGUGUUGGAUUCCUCUCAUGGGAACAUAAGUUCUACUUUUGUUUCUAGAAUGUAUUUCGUUAACUCAUUU